rnacentral:sRNA from 1 species
UUCCUGGUGCUAAAUCCAAUUAAACGCGGCACUCUAGAGCAAAUCAUGAAGGACAGGUGGAUCAAUGCAGGGCAUGAAGAAGAUGAACUCAAACCAUUUGUUGAACCAGAGCUAGACAUCUCAGACCAAAAAAGAAUAGAUAUUAUGGUGGGAAUGGGAUAUUCACAAGAAGAAAUUCAAGAAUCUCUUAGUAAAAUGAAAUAUGAUGAAAUCACAGCUACAUAUUUGUUAUUGGGGAGAAAAUCUUCAGAGCUGGAUGCUAGUGAUUCCAGUUCUAGCAGCAAUCUUUCACUUGCUAAGGUUAGGCCGAGCAGUGAUCUCAACAACAGUACUGGCCAGUCUCCUCACCACAAAGUGCAGAGAAGUGUUUCUUCAAGCCAAAAGCAAAGACGCUACAGUGACCAUGAUGGAAUCUGGCUCUGUCACCCAGGUUGGAAUGCAGUGGCAUGAUCUUGGCUCACUGCAACCUCCACCUCCCGGGUCCCAGCAGUUCUCUUGCCUCAGCCU